UGGCGGCACGCUUAACACAUGCAAGUCGAACGGAGUUUGGAGCUUGCUCCAAAACUUAGUGGCGGACGGGUGAGUAACACGUGAGCAACCUACCUCUGAGAGCGGAAUAGCUUCUGGAAACGGAUGGUAAUACCGCAUGACAUUGUGAAGCCGCAUGACUUUACAAUCAAAUGAAUUUCGCUCAGAGAUGGGCUCGCGCCUGAUUAGCUAGAUGGUGAGGUAACGGCCCACCAUGGCGACGAUCAGUAGCCGGACUGAGAGGUUGAACGGCCACAUUGGGACUGAGACACGGCCCAGACUCCUACGGGAGGCAGCAGUGGGGAAUAUUGCACAAUGGGCGAAAGCCUGAUGCAGCGAUGCCGCGUGGAGGAAGAAGGUUUUCGGAUUGUAAACUCCUUUUUCAGGGACGAUAAUGACGGUACCUGAAGAAGAAGCUCCGGCUAACUACGUGCCAGCCGCGGC
rnacentral:rRNA from 1 species